rnacentral:rRNA from 1 species
UACGGAGGGUGCAAGCGUUGUUCGGAAUUAUUGGGCGUAAAGCGCGCGCAGGCGGCCUGGAAAGUCUAUGGGUGAAAUGCCGGGGCUCAACCCCGUGCAUGCCCAGGAUACUGCCAGGCUGGAGACACGUAGAGGCAGGCGGAAUUUCGGGUGUAGCGGUGGAAUGCGUAGAUAUCCGAAAGAACACCAGUGGCGAAGGCGGCCUGCUGGGCGUGAUCUGACGCUGAGGCGCGACAGCAUGGGGAGCAAACAGG